rnacentral:lncRNA from 1 species
GAUUUAGAACGGGAUUAUCGGGAUAAAUUCGCUUGGAAACGGUUGAAUAUCGACGCUUCCUGAACAAUAUCUGAUUGUUGUCGUGAUUAAAUUAUUUUUUUUACAAAUUUUAAUUAAAGUUUGAAUUUCCAUCCACGAUUCAUAGGAUCUUGAUCAGACUUUUAAUAAAUUUUAAUCGGGAAUGGUCCUGUCAAGGACGGCAGUAAAAAUCGUGAAUGUGUGACCCCAGCUUAACUCCCAAUUUAAAACUAA